AACUUUUAGCAACGUGUCUCUUGGUUCUGGCGUCGGUUAAGAACGCAGCGAAAUGCGAUAAGUAAUGUGAAUUGCAGAAUUCAGUGAAUCAUCGAAUCUUUGAACGCACAUUGCGCCCCUUGGUAUUCCGAGGGGCAUACCUGUUCGAGCGUCAUUACAACACUCAAGCCUAGCUUGGUAUUGGGCUCCGCUGCUUACCCAGCGCGCCUUAAAAUUAGUGGCGGUGCCGUCGGGCUCCUGAGCGCAGUAAAAACCUCGCUAUAGGGACCGGUGAACAUUUGCCAGAAACCCCAACUCUUUUAGUUUGACCUCGGAUCAGGUAGGGCUACCCGCUGAACUUAAGCAUAUCAAUAAGCGGAGGCU
rnacentral:misc_RNA from 1 species